rnacentral:lncRNA from 1 species
UUUCCAAAUGGAGUGAGAGAACAAGAAAGCCUCUAGAAGCCCUCUAUGGGUAUGACUACUUUGCCAGAACCUGUGAAAAGUGGGUGGAUGGCAUAAGACAGUUUAAACAUCUCCCAGAUGUAACAUCUGCCGGCACCUGCUGCCCCGGGUCCAGUGCCCCGCCUUGAUUGUGCACGGUGAGAAGGAUCCUCUGGUCCCACGGUUUCAUGCCGACUUCAUUCAUAAGCACGUGAAAGGCUCACGCUGCAUUUGAUGCCAGAAGGCAAACACAACCUGCAUUUGCGUUUUGCAGAU